rnacentral:ribozyme from 1 species
AGGCUUUGUGAAGGAGGACGAUACAGAAUUGGCUCUUCCGGACAGGAUCUGAAACUCCUGCUAUGGGAUUUUU